AGUGAACGCUGGCGGCAGGCCUAAUACAUGCAAGUCGAACGGCAGCACAGUGGAGCUUGCUCCAUGGGUGUCGAGUGGCGGACGGGUGAGGAAUACAUGGGAAUCUGCCCAGUCGCUGGGGAUAACGUAGGGAAACUUACGCUAAUACCGCAUGUGCCCUUCGGGGGAAAGCCGGGUACCUUCGGGCCUGGCGCCAUUGGAUGAGCCCAUGUUCGAUUAGCUAGUUGGCGGGGUAAAGGCUCACCAAGGCGACGAUCGAUAGCUGGUCUGAGAGGAUGAUCAGCCACACUGGAACUGAGACACGGCCCAGACUCCUACGGGAGGCAGCAGUAGGGAAUAUUCGACAAUGGGCGCAAGCCUGAUCCAGCCAUGCCGCGUGAGUGAAGAAGGCCCUCGGGUUGUAAAGCUCUUUUGUCAGGGAAGAAAAGCAUCGGGCUAAUACCUCGGUGUUCUGACGGUACCGGAAGAAUAAGCACCGGCUAACUUCGUG
rnacentral:rRNA from 1 species